rnacentral:tRNA from 1 species
GUCCCCGUAGCUUAUAAUCAAAGCAUGGCACUGAAGAUGCCAAGAUGGUUGAUACACACCCGAGGACA